rnacentral:rRNA from 1 species
CACGCCGUAAACGAUGUCGAUUUGGAGGCUGUGUCCUUGAGACGUGGCUUCCGGAGCUAACGCGUUAAAUCGACCGCCUGGGGAGUACGGCCGCAAGGUUAAAACUCAAAUGAAUUGACGGGGGCCCGCACAAGCGGUGGAGCAUGUGGUUUAAUUCGAUGAUACGCGAGGAACCUUACCAAGGCUUAAAUGGGAAAUGACAGGUUUAGAAAUAGACUUUUCUUCGGACAUUUUUCAAGGUGCUGCAUGGUUGUCGUCAGCUCGUGCCGUGAGGUGUUAGGUUAAGUCCUGCAACGAGCGCAACCCCUGUCACUAGUUGCCAUCAUUAAGUUGGGGACUCUAGUGAGACUGCCUACGCAAGUAGAGAGGAAGGUGGGGAUGACGUCAAAUCAUCACGGCCCUUACGCCUUGGGCCACACACGUAAUACAAUGGCCGGUACAGAGGGCAGCUACACAGUGAUGUGAUGCAAAUCUCGAAAGCCGGUCUCAGUUCGGAUUGGAGUCUGCAACUCGACUCUAUGAAGCUGGAAUCGCUAGUAAUCGCGCAUCAGCCAUGGCGCGGUGAAUACGUUCCCGGGCCUUGUACACACCGCCCGUCAAGCCAUGGAAGUCUGGGGUACCUGAAGUCGGUGACCGUAACAGGAGCUGCCUAGGGUAAAACAGGUAACUAGGGCUAAGUCGUAACAAGGUAACCGUA